ensembl:lincRNA Gm28721 predicted gene 28721
GAGGGAAAUAUGAAGGCUUGGUAUAGGCAGUAAUGAUGGCGUGCAGUCCAGACCUAUGAUCAAGUGGAGGUAAUGGUUGAAAUCGAUGGAUCAGAGCAGCGUGGGCUUGAGAGAAUGUCAAAGCAGGUUUCUACAAACUCCCAAUCUGUCGAAGGGUGUUUCCUAGAUGCCUCAUGAGCUCAGACAUAACCAGCCAAGGUCCUGCCAGCACAGAUUCCACCCUACUGAGUAAGAGCUCGGUUCAAGUGGCACCAAUUGUACACGGGACCCCAUGGAGCAGAAUUUCAGGCCUCGACCUUCACAUGAAGCACCAGGCCACUUUCCUAUGACAAGGCAUUUCUAGAAGCCUCUAGUUACUUGAUCCAAGGUCAACUUCUCCUGGUCAUACCAAGUUUUAAUUUUCUUUCUACUGUUAUAAGAAACACCAUGACCAAAAUCUACCUGUGGAGGUGAAGAUGUAUUUAGCUUAUAGAUUGUAGUCCAUCACUGAGGGAAGUCGGGGCGGAAGCUCAAGGCAAGAAUCUGGAGGCAGGAACUGGGGCCAAGACCACAGAAGUAUGCUGCUUACUGGCUUGUUCUCCAUAGCUUUCCCACCCUGUUUUCUUAUAGAACCCAGGACUCUCAGCCCAGGAAUGUCACCACCAACAGUGGGCUGAGGCUAGCCUCCCCCCCCCCCCCCCAUUAAUCAUUAAUCAAGAAAAUCUCUCCCACAUAGAAUAGUCUACAGGCCAAUCUUAUGUAAGCAUUAUCUCAAUUCAGGUUUCCUCUUCCCAAGUAAUUAUAGCUUAUGCCUAGUUUGCAGAGAGGGGAGGGGAGGCUAAUCAGCACACACCAAUAACUCAAAGAACAUUAGAAAUGUACUCUGAGAAAAUUCAAAUUCAGCUGGUCUGGGGAGCCUUGGGAACUCAGUUUCAACAGCUCCA